rnacentral:rRNA from 1 species
UAGGGAAUCUUCCGCAAUGGGCGAAAGCCUGACGGAGCACCGCCGCGUGAGUGAUGAAGGUCUUCGGAUCGUAAAACUCUGUUAUUAGGGAAGAACAAAUGUGUAAGUAACUAUGCACGUCUUGACGGUACCUAAUCAGAAAGCCACGGCUAACUACGUGCCAGCAGCCGCGGUAAUACGUAGGUUGCAAGCGUUAUCCGGAAUUAUUGGGCGUAAAGCGCGCGUAGGCGGUUUUUUAAGUCUGAUGUGAAAGCCCACGGCUCAACCGUGGAGGGUCAUUGGGAACUGGAAAACUUGAGUGCAGAAGAGGAAAGUGGAAUUCCAUGUGUAGCGGUGAAAUGCGCAGAGAUAUGGAGGAACACCAGUGGCGAAGGCGACUUUCUGGUCUGUAACUGACGCUGAUGUGCGAAAGCGUGGGGAUCAAACAGG